AGCGAACGCUGGCGGCAGGCCUAACACAUGCAAGUCGAACGAAGUCUUCGGACUUAGUGGCGGACGGGUGAGUAACACGUGGGAACGUGCCUUUAGGUUCGGAAUAACUCAGGGAAACUUGUGCUAAUACCGAAUGUGCCCCUCGGGGGAAAGAUUUAUCGCCUUUAGAGCGGCCCGCGUCUGAUUAGCUAGUUGGGGAGGUAAAGGCUCACCAAGGCGACGAUCAGUAGCUGGUCUGAGAGGAUGAUCAGCCACAUUGGGACUGAGACACGGCCCAAACUCCUACGGGAGGCAGCAGUGGGGAAUCUUGCGCAAUGGGCGAAAGCCUGACGCAGCCAUGCCGCGUGAAUGAUGAAGGUCUUAGGAUUGUAAAAUCCUUUCACCGGUGAAGAUAAUGACUGUAGCCGGAGAAGAAGCCCCGGCUAACUUCGUGCCAGCCGCCGCGGUAAUAC
rnacentral:rRNA from 1 species